rnacentral:lncRNA from 1 species
GUGUGAAGCCUCCACACCAAGUGUGCAAGAGAGCGAGUGUGAGGUGGUGUGCAAGAGUGAGUGAGUGCAAGUGUGUGUGUGUGUGUGUGAGUGUGAGGUGAGGAAGUGUUGUGAAGUGUAGUGAAGUAGUAAAAGUAAGUGUGUGAGGUUUGUAGUCUUAUGGGUGUAUGUGAAUGAGAAUUAUUUUGUGUGUAAUAAAGAGAGUUUUAUUAUCAGUCUGGUACGCCGAUAUUCUACAAUUUGGUAUCAAAGCCAGAUUGUAGGAAAUAUUCUGCUAGUUAAGUCGGUGAAAUUCUGCCAGUCCAGGCAGUUAAAUACCGAUAUAAGCAGAGAUUCUGCUGGUGCACAGUUUGGGAUUGUGAAGUUGGUUGGUCUGGGACCAGACUUACUUGGUUGACUGCUGGGCAAUCACCAAGUCACUAUGGUAGAUCUUGCUGGUACAACUAGCGGAAUUAAGAAGCUAAAUAACCAUAAUUAUGGUUAUUGGCAAACCUGCAUUGAGUCUUACCUACAAGGGUAGGACUUGUGGGAGGUUAUCGGUGGUGCUGAAACAAUUCCACCACCGAAGGAGAAUGCAGAAGCGUUCAGAAAGUGGCGUAUCAAGGCAGGGAAGGCGAUGUUCAUCCUGAAGACGACAAUCGAAGAAGAGCUGCUGGAGCAUAUCAAAGAAGCAGAUACACCCAAGGCUGCAUGGGACACCUUCGCCUCAUUAUUUUCAAAGAAGAACGAUGCUCGACUUCAACUGCUGGAAAAUGAGCUGAUGACGAUAGCUCAGGGCAACAUGACGAUUAGCCAGUGCUUCAUGAAGGUAAAAUCUCUCUGCCGUGAAAUAUCCCAAUUAGAUCCAGAGUCAAAAAUUAGUGAUCAGCGGAUGAAGAGAAUUAUUAUUCACAGCCUAAAACCCGAAUAUAACGGGUUCAUUACUGCUAUUCGAGGAUGGCCCACUCAACCAACGUUGGUGGAGCUAGAAAAUUUACUGGCUAAUCAGGAGGCCCUAGCCAAACAGAUGGCUAGAGUCUCACUGAAAACUGAAAAUGAGGCACUCUUCAGCAGUAGAAGAAAAGGUCGAGCAAUAGGAGGGCCAAGAAAUGUGAAGCCGCUGAAGGAGUUCAGUGGGUCAAAACAAAGGACGGGAGAGAGCCACCUUACAUGGGGAGUCCACAACCAGAAGGACCAAAAUACCUGGCAGUUUAAAGACGACAAACGGCGAAGCGGAGAGUGUUACAAUUGCAGCAAGAAAGGACACUUCGCCCGAGACUGUUGGCACAAGAAGAAACAAGUACAAGGCAAUCUGGCAACGUUAGGUGCUAAGAAGGAAAAGCUACUAAAAUAGGUACCAAUAUAUGCACUCACAACAAUAGAAAAUCCAAGAGAGGUGAAUUACAGUACAGAUUGGAUCAUCGACUCUGGAUGUUCCAAUCAUAUGACCGGUGAUAGAGACAAGCUGCUCAGCACAACAGAAUAUAAAGGAGGAAGAGUAGUGGUGACAGCUAACAACUCGAAGCUGCCAAUCACUCACAUAGGAAAGACAAUCAUGACACCCAGAUUCAGCCCACAUCAAGUACAACUACAGAACGUCUAUCAUGUCCCAGGUAUGAAGAAAAAUCUCUUAUCAGUAUCACAACUGACUGCAUCGGGCAAUUAUGUAGUAUUUGGGCCACAAGAUGUCAAGGUAUUUCGCAGUCCCAAGAUCUCUGGUAUACAAAUCAUGGAAGGAAAGAAAGUAGAGUCUAUAUACGUAAUGUCUGCAGAAUCAGCAUACGUAGAAAAGACUCGAAAAAGUGAGACUGCUGAUUUGUGGCAUGCAAGAUUGGGACAUGUGGGCUAUCACAAACUGAAAAUCAUGAUGGAGCGCAGUAUGCUUAAGGGCUUACCUCAACUUGAAGUACGAGGAGACACAAUCUGCGCAGGAUGCCAGUUUGGUAAGGCUCAUCAACUUCCCUACACUGAAUCCAAAUAUAGAGCCAAGGUACCGCUCGAGCUCGUGCACUCUGGUGUUUUUGGACCAGUCAAGCAAACAUCAAUUAGCGGCAUGCGCUACAUGGUGACGUUUAUUGACGACUACUCAAGGUACGUCUGGGUAUACUUCAUUAAAGAGAAAUCUGAAAUAUUGCAAAAAUUUAAAGAGUUUAAAGAAAAAGUUGAAGGACAAACCGGCCAUAAAAUACGAUGCCUGCGCACGGAUAAUAGAGGAGAAUAUACCUCAACAGAGUUCUUAGCUUAUCUGCGAGAGUGCAAAAUAAGGAGACAGCUUACGUGUCCACGCACUCCGUAACAAAAUGGUAUGGCAGAGAGAAAGAAUAGACAUCUAGCAGAAACUUGCCGAAGCAUGCUGCAUGCAAAGAAUGUGCGAGGUAGAUUUUGGGCAGAAUGUAUGAGAACAGCAGCACAUGUCAUCAACCGGCUGCCGCAACCGAAAUUAGGAUUCAUCUCACCCUAUCAAGUACUGUGGAAAAUCAAACCCACAGUAAGUCAUUUUCGAGUCUUCGGAUGCGUGUGCUAUGUGUUCGUACCGGACCAUCUUCGAAGUAAAUUCGACAAGAACGAUGUAUCUUCGUCGGGUACGACAGUGAAAGAAAAGGGUGGAGAUGCUGUGAUCCACCAACUGGUCGCUGCUACACAUCAAGAAAUGUUGUGUUCGAUGAAGCAUCGUCUUGGUGGCCAUCACAAGAAGUUAUACUGCCAGACUCUGAAGAAAUAGAAAUCAAGCUAGAAGAAAAGCUUGGAGAGCAAGUACAAGAAGAAGAGAAGACGAUGUCAGAGCAAGAAGAAAGUGGUCAACCUUCUACGGAGUCAACCAGUGACGAGCAGCAACUCCAAAAGUCUCCAGAACCCUGGCGAACUGGCGUGCAGUAUCAAACCCCAGAAGAAUAUCGGCCAAGCCAGCUUGAAGACAUAGGUAUGCAGUUACGAAGAUCCUCUAGGCAAAGAAAACCUAAUCCUAAGUAUGCAAAUGUUGCUAUUGCCGAAGAAGAGACUCCAAAAGUGCCGGCCUCCUACGAAGAAGAAGUUACAAGGAAGGAGUGGAGGAACGCGAUGGACGAAAGUAUCCAGGCGCUGAAACAGAAUCAAAAUAGAAGAGCAAAUAGCCAACAUAUUCACCAAAGGACUAACCACCGCAAAGAAGAGUUCCGGAAGCAAUUAGGAAUGCUCAGCAAAGCAACAUUAACAGAGAGUUAGAGUUGAGGGGGAGUAUUGAAAGAGGCAACUCUCCCUCUCUCUUUAAUAGAACAUUCUAGAAUGCUCUAUCCCUUUCCAAUUCUCUACUAGCUAAUGGAGCAUUCUAGAAAACUCUAGGAACAAAGUGCUCUCUAUUUGUUAGUAGAGCACUUUAGUAAGUUCUAGAAGCAAGUACUCUAGAAUAUUCUAGAGUACUCAUGUAGGUAGGUUGGAGGCCUAUAAAUAGGUGUGAGGCCUCCACACCAAGUGUGCAAGAGAGCGAGUGUGAGGUGGUGUGCAAGAGUGAGUGAAUGCAAGUGUGUGUGUGUGUGAGUGUGAGGUGAGGAAGUGUUAUGAAGUGUAGUGAAGUAGUAAAAGUGAGUGUGUGAGGUUUGUAGUCUUAUGGGUGAAUGUGAAUGAGAGUUAUUUUGUGUGUAAUAAAGAGAGUUUUAUUAUCAGCCUGGUACGCCGAUAUUCUACAACCAUGAGAGACCAGAACGUUGCGAUAAGAAUGGGUGCGAAACACAUUCACCAG